AAGGCAAACUAUAUUUACAGUUAACACAAACAUCUAGAUAUCCCACUGGCCGAUGAACUCACAAGUGUAGGUAGUGUGCUACAUGAGGGGCAAGUUUUUCGCUAACGUCACAAGGGUCUCUGGCCCAAUGAGUGGAGUUUGAUAGUAAUACUUGCUACAAAU
rnacentral:snoRNA from 1 species